GACGAACGCUGGCGGCGUGCCUAAUACAUGCAAGUCGAACGAACCGCGACUAGGUGCUUGCACUUGGUCAAGGUGAGUGGCGAACGGGUGAGUAACACGUGGGUAACCUACCUCAUAGUGGGGGAUAACAGUCGGAAACGACUGCUAAUACCGCAUAGGACAUAGGAUCACAUGAUCCAGUGAGGAAAGGUGGCGCAAGCUAUCGCUAAGAGAUGGACCCGCGGUGCAUUAGCUAGUUGGUAGGGUAAAGGCCUACCAAGGCGAUGAUGCAUAGCCGACCUGAGAGGGUGGCCGGCCACAUUGGGACUGAGACACGGCCCAAACUCCUACGGGAGGCAGCAGUAGGGAAUCUUCCGCAAUGGACGCAAGUCUGACGGAGCAACGCCGCGUGAGUGAAGAAGGUCUUCGGAUCGUAAAGCUCUGUUGUUAGAGAAGAACAGCGCAUAGAGUAACUGUUAUGCGUGUGACGGUAUCUAACCAGAAAGCCACGGCUAACUACGUG
rnacentral:rRNA from 1 species